rnacentral:snRNA from 1 species
AUAUUUAGCUCGUGCAGGGCUCGCUGUGAUCAUUCAGGCAGCUAUCCCCUGCAGAGACCAUCCAUUGCACUGCGGUUGGCUGAUACUCGACACUUACCCUGACCUGGUAGGAGGAGAUUUUAAUUUUUGGUAGUAGGGCUCGGCAAUGGCAUCCGGCCCUC